UACGAAGGGUGCGAGCGUUAUUCGAAAUUACUGGGCGUAAAGGGUGCGUAGGCGGUAUGUUAAGUUUGUUGUUAAAGACUCCGGCCUAACCGGAGAGCUGCAAUGAAAACUGGCGUGCUAGAGGAUGAGAGAGAGAAGUGGAAUUCCCGGAGUAGCGGUAAAAUGCGUGGAUCUCGGGAGGAACACCAAUGGCGAAAGCAGCUUCUUGGCUCAUUUCUGACGUUGAGGCACGAAAGCGUGGGGAG
rnacentral:rRNA from 1 species